GCUCCGCCCGCCCACGCCACCGCCUUGUCCGCGCGCGCCCGUAGGUCGAAACCGAGGCGCAGAGAAGGCCGGCCGGCUAUGCCUUCCGCGCGCCCGCAGCCUCCGGGGAGCAGCCGGGUGCUUGGGGUGCCGCGCCGGGAGGCCGGGGCCUAGCGUCGCCUCGCCCAGCGCCCACCGCGGCCGCCAUGGCCUGCGCCGCCCGGGAGCGCUCGGGACACCGGGCGUUGCGCGGGCUGCUGCUGCUCUGCUUGUGGCUGCCGAGCGGCCGCGCGUCUGGUCCGCCGCUGUCCGAGCUGCACGCGCAGCUGUCGGGCGUGCAGCAGCUGCUAGAGGACUUCCGCCGGCAGCUGCAGCGGGAGACGCCGGCCGAGGACCUGGAGCUCGAGCUGCGAGCCGGCGGCGGCCCGCGGGAGGGCUGCCCAGGCGCGGGCGGCGACGGCUACAGCGCGCUCCCUGACGCCAUCAUCCGCACCAAGGACUCCCUGGCGGCGGGCGCCAGCUUCUUGCGGGCGCCGGCGGCGGUGCGGGACUGGCGACAGUGCGUGGCGGCCUGCUGCGCUGAGCCGCGCUGCUCCGUGGCGGUGGUCGAGCUGCCUCCGCGGCCCGCAGGCCCGGCCGCCACGCUCGGCUGCUUCCUUUUCAACUGCACAGCCCGCGGCCGCAGCGUCUGCAAGUUCGCGCCGCAUCGCGGUUACCGGAGCUACCGCCUCCGCCGGACGCCGGAUGCUGGGCCCAGUAGCCUGGGACCCGGCGCCCCCGUGCCGGCCACUGCAGGGGCCUCGACAGAGCUGGCCCAGGAUGCACCUCCACUCAGCAAGGCUGGACAGGAUGUGGUUUUGCAUCUGCCCACAGACGAAGUGAUUUUGGAUGGCCGUGAAAGCUCAGAUGACCAUGCCAUCAUCCAGUACGAGUGGACCCUGCUACAAGGUGACCCAUCAGUGAGCAUGAAGGUGCCUCAACCAGGAACUCUGAAACUGUCCCACCUGCAGGAAGGAACGUACACUUUGCAGCUGACCGUGACAGACACCGCGGGUCAGAAAAGCACAGACAAUGUGUCAGUGACAGUGCAUCCCAGGCCCGCCCCUCCAGGAGGAUGCAUGAAUAUUUGCUCACGUUACCACUUCUUCUGUGACAACGGCUGCUGCAUCGACAUCGCCCUGACCUGUGACGGAGUGCGGCAGUGUCCUGAUGGGUCUGACGAAGAUUUCUGUCAAAAUCUGGGCCUUGACCGGAAGCUGGUGACUCACACUGCAACCAGUCCUGCCCAGCCUGGCCCCACAGGGCUAAUCACAGACACUAGGAAGGACUUGCAUUUGGAAAAGUCCCAGAAAACCACGCCCCCCAACCUGCCAGCUACCUUACCAAGCACAGAGAAGAGGAAUCACUCCACCCUGGGGAGACCAGAAAGUCAAAGCGGCCUUAUGAUGCCAGAUGGUAGUUCCUCAGGGAAGAACAGAAAUGAGGAAAGUUUUAAUUUGGAGUCCAAGAGCCAUCGAGGAAGGGGGGAGCACCCAGCCCCGGAAGCAGGUCUCACCAUGUAGUUCAUGCUUGCCUUCAUCUCACUGUAUAGCCCAGGCUGAGUUCAAACUCAGAUGAUCCUCCUGCCUCAACCUCCCAAGUGUCAGGAUUAUAGGUGCAGUGCUGCCCCUGGCUUUGGGUUUGGCCAUCACUGCUUUGCUCCUUUUCAUGGUUGCCUGUCGACUACGACUGGUGAAACAGAAACUUAAGAAAGCCCGGCCCAUUACAUCUGAGGAAUCUGACUACCUCAUAAAUGGGAUGUAUCUGUAGUAAACAUAACUUACACAGCUUGGGGCAAGGACAUGUUUUGCUUAUGAUUUAAUUUAUUCUUCUAUGAAGUGCUGGUAUUUAUGACCUCUUUUUAUUUUUAACUGGGCUAGAUUUUUCAAAUUGCAAACCUUUGUCUUUAUUUAUUGUAGAUUUUCCUUAGGGAGUAUGUGUAAAGGCUUGAAAUUUAUGGAGAAACUCAUGUGAUUAAAACCAUCUGCCAAUCUGCUUCUGAUUUACUAAGCUGUCCCUGGAAACAGAAAGUUGUAGUUAGCUUAGAUUAAAAAAAAAAAAAAAAAAAAAAAAAAUACGUCAAGAGUUGGCCUUGGGAUGAUGGCACUUACUCCUCUCUUUUAAGGAGCUAACACUAAGGCCAGGGAUUUAGCUCAACGGCGUAAGUGCCUGCCUUGUAAUCGUGUGGUUGUGAGUUCAAUCCCUGGUACCAAAAAAAAAAAACUAAAAAAAAAAAAGGCAACACGAGCCCUUGGCAGUGCUGGCCACUUUAGGCCAGCUUCCCUUUAUUCAGUAGCCCUGUUUUCCAAUGUUUUUCUGUUCUUUUCUCCUCCAAAACCUGUUUCUGACAAUGGAUCUCCAACGAGUGUAUCCUUUCAAUGAAAUGUCACCUAUGGUAGGUGUAUAUAAAUUAUAAGCCUCAACAGGCCAGUGAUGCCUCAGGGGACAGGAAUGUGGGUUCUUUCCAGUGCUUCUGAUACCAUGACAUAUAGUUCACUGCCUCAAGUUUAUCUUUGGAGAAAAUAAACAGAUUUGGGGAUAGGAACAGCACUGAAAUAGUUACGAAGAAAGAAGGGGAGCAGAGAAUGUGGUAAGCCAAAAUUUUUAACGAAAACUUAGCUGAAGGAAAAGGAAGGACAGUUAACAGUUAAGGCUGGUGAACAGUGCUCCAUGGUCCAGAGCAAGCAAGCAACUCAUUUAUGUAAUCUUCAGAUUUCAACAUUAUUCUUUAAUAAAAAAGAAAAAUUCAAAUUCUACUGCAGAACCUCAAAUGGAUUUCUGCAUACAGCUCUUAUAAAAAUGGUACCAUGUUUAAGUAUUGGCUGAUUCUUCAUACUAAUGGGAUCGGUCAAGAUUUUUUCUAAUACUUUUUAAUGCUAUAAAAUGUUUUAACAGCCAGCUACUAGCACAUACCUGAAAUCUCAAUACUGUGGGAGGUUGAGGCAGGAGGAUCACAAGUUUGCAUCUCACAUAGCCAACUUAGUGAGACCCAGUCUCAAAAUAAAGAGUUGGGGCUGUAGCUCAGUGGGAAGACCCUGUCUUUAAUCCCCAGUAUGCACAAAACAACAAAAGUUUUAAUGUGCAAUCAUGUAAUGCUAGGUUUAUAUAUUUCCAGAGCAGUAAACAAUUUUGAACAAAUUCAUCCUUAGUGAAAUCUGACACGUAGCUUAGCAUCUUCUCCCUUAUAAAUUUGUGGGCAUUUAAAGGCAAAUUAUUCCCAUUAUAGCUUAAAGUCAGAGUGUAGACAUUCUAGAAAUUAGGAGGUAUGUAUAGUGUGGUGCCUGUCUACCCUUACAUGUUGUUCCUAUUUAUAUUCUCUUUUUACCAUAAAGGGAAAAAUUUUUAAACACUUGAAAAACUCUAAAAGUGUAGUAGUUUAUUUUUAGAUUGAAACUGAAGUAGGUGGUUAAUUUGGGUUGGGAGGGUAUAACAUAUCAACAUUGACAACUGGACAGUUCUAGAAAACAAUGAAAUUGAGCAUCUUUUCCCUGAGAAAUUCUUGCUUUUUGUUUUUUAGAAUUGAGCAGUGACUUAAAUUUCUCAAUGACAAUUUACAUAAAAUCAAGGGUAUGAAUGAAUUUAAGAUGUUUGUACUCUUAUGUGAUACUUUGGAGCUUGUUUUUAUAGAGAAGAAUGUUACCUACAGCCACACCCAAUAAAAUAAAAACUGAGAUGGCACACAUCUUUCAGCACAUCUUUUAUACAUAAAGACAUUAUUGCUGUGGGUUGAAAUACUUGGGAAAAGUUGAACCUUGUGGAUGUAAACAACAUUCCUUUAAUAAACUGUAUUUUAUGCUUAAA